rnacentral:piRNA from 1 species
UUAAAGCGAAGUGACGGGCACUAAA